GAGGUGGCAAGCGUUGUCCGGAAUUAUUGGGCGUAAAGCGCGCGCAGGCGGUUCUUUAAGUCUGAUGUGAAAGCCCACGGGCUCAACCGUGGAGGGUCAUUGGAAACUGGAGAACUUGAGUACAGAAGAGGAAAGCGGAAUUCCACGUGUAGCGGUGAAAUGCGUAGAGAUGUGGAGGAACACCAGUGGCGAAGGCGGCUUUCUGGUCUGUAACUGACGCUGAGGCGCGAAAGCGUGGGGAGCAAACAGGAUUAGAUACCCUGGUAGUCCACGCCGUAAACGAUGAGUGCUAAGUGUUAGGGGGUUUCCGCCCCUUAGUGCUGCAGCUAACGCAUUAAGCACUCCGCCUGGGGAGUACGGCCGCAAGGCUG
rnacentral:rRNA from 1 species